UACGGGGCGCAGCAGGCGCGAAACCUUUACACUGCACGCCAGUGCGAUAAGGGGAUCCCGAGUGCACAGGCAUAGAGCCUGUGCUUUUCUGAACCGUAGGGAGGUUCAGGAACAAGAGCUGGGCAAGACCGGUGCCAGCCGCCGCGGUAAUACCGGCAGCUCGAGUGAUGGCCGAUCUUAUUGGGCCUAAAGCGUCCGUAGCUGGCCUUGCAAGUCCGUCGGGAAAUCCACCCGCUCAACGGGUGGGCGUCCGGCGGAAACUGUGAGGCUUGGGACCGGGAGGCUUGAAGGGUACGUCCGGGGUAGGAGUGAAAUCCUGUAAUCCUGGACGGACCGCCGAUGGGGAAACCACUUCAAGAGAACGGAUCCGACAGUGAGGGACGAAAGCUAGGGUCUCGAACCGGAUUAGAUACCCGCGUAGUCC
rnacentral:rRNA from 1 species